AGUGAACGCUGGCGGUAGGCCUAACACAUGCAAGUCGAACGGCAGCACAGUAAGAGCUUGCUCUUACGGGUGGCGAGUGGCGGACGGGUGAGGAAUACAUCGGAAUCUACUUUCUCGUGGGGGAUAACGUAGGGAAACUUACGCUAAUACCGCAUACGACCUACGGGUGAAAGCAGGGGAUCUUCGGACCUUGCGCGAUUAAUGAGCCGAUGUCGGAUUAGCUAGUUGGCGGGGUAAAGGCCCACCAAGGCGACGAUCCGUAGCUGGUCUGAGAGGAUGAUCAGCCACACUGGAACUGAGACACGGUCCAGACUCCUGCGGGAGGCAGCAGUGGGGAAUAUUGGACAAUGGGCGCAAGCCUGAUCCAGCCAUACCGCGUGGGUGAAGAAGGCCUUCGGGUUGUAAAGCCCUUUUGUUGGGAAAGAAAAGCAGCAGGUUAAUACCCCGCUGUUCUGACGGUACCCAAAGAAUAAGCACCGGCUAACUUCGUG
rnacentral:rRNA from 1 species